GGGGAGCUACAGGCAGAGGGAGAAGUAGGCUCUCCACGGAGCAGGGAGCCUGAUCUGGGGCCCGAUUCCAAGACCCUGAGAUCAUGACCUGAGCCAAAGUUAGAUGCCCAGCCAACUGAGUCACCCAGGCUAGAACUUCCAGCACUAUGUUGCAUAAGACUGCUGAGAACAGACAUCCCUGCCUUGUUCCUAAUAUUAGGGGAAAACAUUCAGCCUUUCACCCCUACCAGAAAAUUGAAAAUUACGUAUAUGGUUCCCAGUAUAUGUUCCUAUUGGACAACACUGAUGUAGAAAAUAAGUCUUGAUUCUCAGCCUAGUGUUCUCUACGUCCUACAUUGAAAGGGAGGAUGUCAAAAGGAUGAAAGUUGGUGCUCCAGCCAUCUCACCCAAAUUCCUGACCGAGGGAGAAAUGGAAAAGGACAAAGGGGUACAUGCCAUCAACCUGUCCCCCUUCCUUUCUGCAAGCUUCACUUACCAACUUCUGUUUUUCAUCCCAUUGGCCGCUGCUAAUUGCAAGGUAUAUGUCUAUGGAGGGAGCCUGCUCCAACCUCUUGGCCACAGUCUUGGGUCUCAUCUACAGUAUCUUCUGAUCUGGAAUUGAGAUAUGGAGGUGCUCCACUUUGGACCAGAUGGCUGAGGACAACAUCAAAGGGAUGGUGGAGCAGCAAAUCAGAAGGACUGUUGUCAUCGGGCGGGUAGCUGCCAGAUAGCUUUGGAUGGCUCCAGCCUGGACUGUGACGUGAGAAAGAAUACAAUUCUACCUGCUUAAGCCCCUCUUACUUCAGAUCUUUGUUGUAUCAGCCACACGAAGUACCUAAGUCCUAAUGAAUGCAUUUGCUUACCAAAGCAUCUGGAAACAGUGUGUGCAUUAUUCAAAUGUAACAAUGUGUGUAAGAGCUGUACAAAUGUAGCUUUACCUGUUACUGUCAGGGAUUUGGAUGAUGACUUGCUGCUUUGCUCUCUUCCAGUUUUCUCUGACUUACUUACUUCUCCUUUUGAAGAACCUAGCGCCGGCGUUAUCCACGUUGGUCCCUCUGGUUCAUUCGGCGUCCUCCCUUGUGUGGUCUUGGGAGUCCUGGUGCAUGGCUCUGCAGUGGUACCCGGCCUCCUGUGUUGAGAUGUCUUCCAUCUUGGGUCUACCCAUCCUGGAUGGAAAUGGCCCAAGUCCUGAGUUCCCUUCCCACACAGGAUUGUGAACUCCCUUAGGGCAGGGCUGACUCCUGUCCUGCUAGCAAGCCUGUUGCAUAUUCAGUCCACAAUACAUAUUUGUGUUAAGUGAUCCUAUGUGUGAAUGAAAGACAACAUGGGGGAAUGGAUCAUAAAGUGGAGUGUUUACAAUGGUUAUCUCCUUGUUACUGCAGCAAACUCACUUCUUUACGUCUGAUGUCGGCGCACU